GCAUCGAUGGUUCAAUGGUAGAAUGCUCGUUUCCCAAUGGAGAGACCCGGGUUCGAUUCCCGGACGGUGCA
rnacentral:tRNA from 1 species